rnacentral:rRNA from 1 species
UGGGGAAUAUUGCGCAAUGGGGGAAACCCUGACGCAGCGACGCCGCGUGUGGGAAGAAGGCCUUCGGGUCGUAAACCACUGUCAAGAGGGAAGAAACGCAUGGGUUCAAAUAGGGCCUGUGCCUGACGGUACCUCUGGAGGAAGCACCGGCUAACUCCGUGCCAGCAGCCGCGGUAAUACGGAGGGUGCAAGCGUUAAUCGGAAUCACUGGGCGUAAAGCGCACGUAGGCUGUUUUGCAAGUCAGACGUGAAAUCCCUUGGCUCAACCGAGGAAUUGCGUUUGAAACUGCAGGACUCGAGUACUGGAGAGGGUGGCGGAAUUCCCGGUGUAGGAGUGAAAUCCGUAGAUAUCGGGAGGAACACCAGUGGCGAAGGCGGCCACCUGGACAGAUACUGACGCUGAGGUGCGAAAGCGUGGGGAGCAAACA